rnacentral:lncRNA from 1 species
AUAUUCUUACCAUAUUACACAAGAAAUGUGAAAUUCAUCAUGGCACAGAUGAGGGAAUACGAAAUAGUGUUCAAAAAUGACGAGCCAGGUGAAUUACAGGAAGAGACUUACACGACUCUAAGCGCAAGAAAAAUCGAAUCAACAAGGUACGUCGAUGAACCCUGCUUAUUUGCCUUAGGAGUUCUAGAUAGUGUUAAUUAUAUGCUAGACACUUUAAAU